AUUCGGCUGAUGAGUCCCGAAUAGGACGAGAAGCGCAUCCUGGAU
rfam:Schistosoma mattheei strain Denwood, Zambia genome assembly, scaffold: SMTD_scaffold0002846